UGGGGAAUUUUGGACAAUGGGCGCAAGCCUGAUCCAGCCAUUCCGCGUGCAGGAUGAAGGCCUUCGGGUUGUAAACUGCUUUUGUACGGAACGAAACACGUCUGGUUAAUACCCGGGCGUAAUGACGGUACCGUAAGAAUAAGCACCGGCUAACUACGUGCCAGCAGCCGCGGUAAUACGUAGGGUGCGAGCGUUAAUCGGAAUUACUGGGCGUAAAGCGUGCGCAGGCGGUGAUGUAAGACAGAUGUGAAAUCCCCGGGCUCAACCUGGGAACUGCAUUUGUGACUGCAUUGCUGGAGUGCGGCAGAGGGGGAUGGAAUUCCGCGUGUAGCAGUGAAAUGCGUAGAUAUGCGGAGGAACACCGAUGGCGAAGGCAAUCCCCUGGGCCUGCACUGACGCUCAUGCACGAAAGCGUGGGGAGCAAACAGGAUUAGAUACCCUGGUAGUCCACGCCCUAAACGAUGUCAACUGGUUGUUGGGGAUUC
rnacentral:rRNA from 1 species